UACAGAGGGGGCAAGCGUUGUUCGGAAUUACUGGGCGUAAAGGGCGCGUAGGCGGCCCUCUAAGUCGAACGUGAAAUCCCCGGGCUCAACCCGGGAACUGCGUCCGAUACUGGAAGGCUUGAAUCCGGGAGAGGGAUGUGGAAUUCCAGGUGUAGCGGUGAAAUGCGUAGAUAUCUGGAGGAACACCGGUGGCGAAGGCGACAUCCUGGACCGGUAUUGACGCUGAGGCGCGAAAGCCAGGGGAGCAAAGCAGG
rnacentral:rRNA from 1 species